rnacentral:rRNA from 1 species
GUCCUACGGGAGGCAGCAGUAGGGAAUCUUCCACAAUGGACGAAAGUCUGAUGGAGCAACGCCGCGUGAGUGAAGAAGGGUUUCGGCUCGUAAAGCUCUGUUGGUAGUGAAGAAAGAUAGAGGUAGUAACUGGCCUUUAUUUGACGGUAAUUAAUUAGAAAGUCACGGCUAACUACAUGACAGCAGCCGCGGUAAUACGUAGGUGGCAAGCGUUGUCCGGGUUUAUUGGGCGUAAAACGAGUGCAGG